rnacentral:lncRNA from 12 species
CUUUGGGUGGGGCUCAGGUUGAGGAAGCAAAGAUUCAUCAUUACAGAACAAUUUACUAAGAUUAAAAAUAGAAAGGUCUUUAAAUGGUAUGUUUGUGCUAGGUGCUCUGGACAGCACUUUGCUUGGAGUAUCUCAUCUGAUUCUUAAAACACCCAUUUUAUAGAUGAGCUGAUUGAUUAGAGAAAUUAUAUAAUUUGUCCAGGGCAGACCUGGGAUUCUUUUUUUUUUUUUUUUUAACGAUUUUAUUUAUUUAUGUGUGAGAGAGAAAGCAUGACAAAGGAAGGGGCAGAGGAAAAGCAGAUUCCUCGCUGAGCAGGGACCCGGAGUGGGGCUAGAUCCCAGGACUCUGGGAUGAUCAUGUCCUGAGCUGAAGGCAGACACUUAACCAACUGAGCCACCCUGGUGCCUCCAGAACCAGAAUUUUAAGGUGCUUUAAUGUGACCACACAAUCCAAGCCUUUUAAUCAGUACAGUCUCCUAGAGAGCAUGUAGAGGUACAUUGAGGCAGGCACCAUUGCUUUAUAUAUCUCUACUGAUGACUGCCAGAUCAAAAAGACUGGAUUUGAAUCAGUUGGCAGUAGAGACCCUUUGAAGGCCAUUGAACAGAGGCACAGUGUAAGGAGAGCUGCACUGUAUGUACUGUUGAUGGCCACUCAAGGGAUUAGGGACCUGCUGCAGAAGGAGAGGUAGUGCUGUGGCAAAGUCAGUGGCCUUGACAACAAAUAGGAAUAGGCUAGUUAUGGCAAGAACUUAAUACUUUGGGGAUACAGGAUUGGAUGGUGGGUCUGAAAUGUCUAUACAAUAUAUGCAGGUAUUUGGGAGAAUCCGGAAAUUCCAGCCUGGAGAUCUCAAAGAAAGAGGUGGCACCAGUUUUGCUUGCUCUUCACCGGGAAAGGCCUAACCACCAAUAG